rnacentral:rRNA from 1 species
AACGAACGCUGGCGGCAGGCUUAACACAUGCAAGUCGAGCGCCCCGCAAGGGGAUCGGCAGGGGGGUGAGUAACGCGUGGGGAGUUACCUCUUGGUUCGUAACAACUCGGGGAAACUGGAGCCAAGAAAGGGGAAGCAAUAACGGGGAAAGAUUUAAGGCGAAAAGGUGGGCCCGUGGCUGAUUAGGUAGUUGGAGAGGUAACGGUUCACCAAGGCGACGAUCAGUAGCUGGUCUGAGAGGAUGAUCCGCCACACUGUGACUGAGACACGGCCCGGACUCCUACGGGAGGCAGCAGUGGGGAAUCUUGGACAAUGGGGGGAAGCAUGAUGCAGCCAUGAUGGGUGAGUGCUGAAGGCCUUAGGGUUGUAAAGCACUUUUGUCCGGGAAGAUAAUGACGGUACCGGAAGAAUAAGCACCGGCUAACUUCGUG